AUUGAACGCUGGCGGGAUGCCUAACACAUGCAAGUCGAACGGAGUGGGGAACGGGUGAGUGAUGAAUCGGUACGUGACCAGUAGCGGGGGAUAAGUACACGAAAGCGAAGCUAAUACCACAUACUAUUUGAGUCGCCGUGAUCGGAUUCGCUGGUGGGUGGGGUAACGGCUAAGGAAGGCGACGACCAGUAGCUGGUUUGAGAGGAGGACCAGCCAAACUGGGACUGAGACCCGGCCCAGACUCCUACGGGAGGAAGCAGUGGGGAAUUUUGGACAAUGGGGGAAACCCUGAUGCAGACAUCCCGCGUGUGGGAUGAAGGCCUUGGGGUUGUAAAGCACUUUUGGCGGGAAGGCGGUACCUGCAGAAUAAGCACCGGCUAACUACGUGCCAGCAGCCGCGGUAAUUC
rnacentral:rRNA from 1 species